rnacentral:rRNA from 1 species
GACGAACGCUGGCGGCGUGCUUAACACAUGCAAGUCGAACGGAAAGGCCCUGCUUUUGUGGGGUGCUCGAGUGGCGAACGGGUGAGUAACACGUGAGUAACCUGCCCUUGACUUUGGGAUAACUUCAGGAAACUGGGGCUAAUACCGGAUAGGAGCUCCUGCUGCAUGGUGGGGGUUGGAAAGUUUCGGCGGUUGGGGAUGGGCUCGCGGCUUAUCAGCUUGUUGGUGGGGUAGUGGCUUACCAAGGCUUUGACGGGUAGCCGGCCUGAGAGGGUGACCGGCCACAUUGGGACUGAGAUACGGCCCAGACUCCUAAGGGAGGCAGCAGUGGGGAAUAUUGCACAAUGGGCGGAAGCCUGAUGCAGCAACGCCGCGUGCGGGAUGACGGCCUUCGGGUUGUAAACCGCUUUCGCCUGUGACGAAGCGUGAGUGACGGUAAUGGGUAAAGAAGCACCGGCUAACUACGUG